GGUUUAUAGUCCUGUGAGUUCAACACUGCAGGACUCACAUCUGUCAGUCAACACAGCAGAAAGCACAACCACCAUGACUCUCAUCACCAUCCUCAUCUGGACGCUGGCCUGCUGCUGUUUUACAGGAUGCAGCGGUCAGGUGACUGUGACUCAGCCUCCAGUAGUGACAUCUGCUCCAGGAUCCACUGUCACUCUCAUCUGUAACACCAACCCAGCUGUUUACAGAGACAGUGAUGGUGAUGAAUAUAUCUUCUGGUAUCAACAGAAAUCUGGACAGCCUCCAAAGCUCCUAAUAAGAUAUGUGAGCGCACGUGAAUCAGGAACACCAGCUCGGUUUAGUGGCAGUGGAAGCAGCUCUGCCUUCACUUUGACCAUCAGUGGAGUUCAGACUGAAGAUGCAGCAGUUUAUUACUGUCAGAGUCUCCAUGAAAUCAGCAGUGCUGCUGUGUUCACACAGUGAUUUACCGUCGUACAAAAACCUCCCUC